rnacentral:rRNA from 1 species
UACAGAGGUCUCAACCGUUGUUCGGAUUCAUUGGGCGUAAAGGGUGCGUAGGCGGUCGUGCAAGUCGGGUGUGAAAUCCCCCAGGCUUAACCUGGGAACUGCAUUCGAGACUGCAUUGCUAGAGUAUGGGAGAGGGAAGUGGAAUUUCCGGUGUAGCGGUGAAAUGCGUAGAUAUCGGAAGAACAUCAGUGGCGAAAGCGACUUCCUGGACCAAUACUGACGCUCAUGUGCGAAAGCGUGGGGGAGCAAACAGG